AAUGCCUAGGAAAUUGCCCUGAUGUGGGGGAUAACCAUUGGAAACGAUGGCUAAUACCGCAUGAUGCCUACGGGCCAAAGAGGGGGACCUUCGGGCCUCUCGCGUCAGGAUAUGCCUAGGUGGGAUUAGCUAGUUGGUGAGGUAAGGGCUCACCAAGGCGACGAUCCCUAGCUGGUCUGAGAGGAUGAUCAGCCACACUGGAACUGAGACACGGUCCAGACUCCUACGGGAGGCAGCAGUGGGGAAUAUUGCACAAUGGGCGCAAGCCUGAUGCAGCCAUGCCGCGUGUGUGAAGAAGGCCUUCGGGUUGUAAAGCACUUUCAGU
rnacentral:rRNA from 1 species